rnacentral:lncRNA from 1 species
CUUUUCGAGGUAGGAGUCGACUCCUGUGAGGUAUGGUGCUGGGUGCAGAUGCAGUGUGGCUCUGGAUAGCACCUUAUGGACAGUUGUGUCCCCAAGGAAGGAUGAGAAUAGCUACUGAAGUGGAGUCCAACUUGCCUGGACCAGCUUAAUGGUUCUGCUCCUGGUAACGUUUUUAUCCAUGGAUGACUUGCUUGGGUAAGGACAUGAAGACAGUUCCUGUCAUACCUUUUAAAGGUAUGGAGAGUCGGCUUGACUACACUGUGUGGAGCAAGUUUUAAAGAAGCAAAGGACUCAGAAUUCAUGAUUGAAGAAAUGCAGGCAGACCUGUUAUCCUAAACUAGGGUUUUUAAUGACCACAACAAGCAAGCAUGCAGCUUACUGCUUGAAAGGGUCUUGCCUCACCCAAGCUAGAGUGCAGUGGCCUUUGAAGCUUACUACAGCCUCAAACUUCUGGGCUCAAGUGAUCCUCAGCCUCCCAGUGGUCUUUGUAGACUGCCUGAUGGAGUCUCAUGGCACAAGAAGAUUAAAACAGUGUCUCCAAUUUUAAUAAAUUUUUGCAAUCCA